rnacentral:rRNA from 1 species
AUUGAACGCUGGCGGCAUGCUCUACACAUGCAAGUCGAACGGUAACAGGCCGCAAGGUGCUGACGAGUGGCGAACGGGUGAGUAAUGCAUCGGAACGUGCCCAGUCGUGGGGGAUAACUACUCGAAAGAGUAGCUAAUACCGCAUACGAUCUAUGGAUGAAAGCGGGGGACCGUAAGGCCUCGCGCGAUUGGAGCGGCCGAUGUCAGAUUAGGUAGUUGGUGGGGUAAAGGCUCACCAAGCCAACGAUCUGUAGCUGGUCUGAGAGGACGACCAGCCACACUGGGACUGAGACACGGCCCAGACUCCUACGGGAGGCAGCAGUGGGGAAUUUUGGACAAUGGGCGCAAGCCUGAUCCAGCAAUGCCGCGUGCAGGAAGAAGGCCCUCGGGUUGUAAACUGCUUUUGUACGGAACGAAACGGCUCUGGUUAAUACCCGGGGCUAAUGACGGUACCGUAAGAAUAAGCACCGGCUAACUACGUG